CCUACGGGCGCGCUGCAGUGGGGAAUAUUGGACAAUGGGCGAAAGCCUGAUCCAGCCAUGCCGCGUGUGUGAAGAAGGCCUUCGGGUUGUAAAGCACUUUCAGUGGGGAAGAAAGCCUUGGGGCUAAUACCCUCGAGGAAGGACAUCACCCACAGAAGAAGCACCGGCUAACUCCGUGCCAGCAGCCGCGGUAAUACGGAGGGUGCGAGCGUUAAUCGGAAUUACUGGGCGUAAAGCGCGCGUAGGCGGUCUGAUAAGCCGGUUGUGAAAGCCCCGGGCUCAACCUGGGAACGGCAUCCGGAACUGUCAGGCUAGAGUGCAGGGGAGGAAGGUAGAAUUCCCGGUGUAGCGGUGAAAUGCGUAGAGAUCGGGAGGAAUACCAGUGGCGAAGGCGGCCUUCUGGACUGACACUGACGCUGAGGUGCGAAAGCGUGGGUAGCAAACAGGAUUAGAUACCCGAGUAGUC
rnacentral:rRNA from 1 species